UCUCUCUCUCUCUCUCUCUCUCUCUCUCUCUCUCUCUCUCUCUCUCUCUCUCUCUCUCAAGGACAUCGUGGUCAAGAAGGCACGACAGCGAUUCACUCUUCAACCUCAGGAUGCUGACGAAAUUCGGCCUUUCCCAGAGGGCCCUCACAGCAUCACAGCCUGGUAGAGCAACUCCACAGCCGCUGACCACAAAGACACUACAGACGGUGGUACAGUGCAUUCGGAAAAUGACAUUUAAUUGCAGGGGAAUUCUACCACUGAAGAUCCUGUUUGACCCUGGGCAUGAUAUCGUACAUCAGAAGGAACAGAGGCAUGCCAACUGACAUUCAAAUCCUGCCAAACCUGAUGGGUAUUUUCAGUAUCUCGACUGAAUUAUGACACCUAAGACAAAUGAAAAACUGAAUCUCCACUUCAGGCCUCUCCUACAGAAAGCAAUAUGGUGUUUUUGUAUGUUGUGUUGUACAGUAUGUUAUGUUUGUUAUAUAUACCAUGUCAUCUGCAGGUUUCCAUCUUUUCAUGGAUCCCAGGACUUCUGGAAAAGAGUGGUGAUUUUAUACUAUCCUGAUUUAAAAAGGCCUGCCCUGGGCCAAUACAUAAACACCCAAUAGUGAAUUCACUAUGCCUCUCAUGGCUCUUCGGACAGACACACCUACACAUACAGAUACAGAUAAACAUCUCAUUUGUGAUGUGGUGAAUAAGAAGAUGUCGGUGUAGAUAAAUGUUUCCUUUUUACGCCAAUUUCCUGCAAUUCUACAAUUUUCUCCAUGGAGCUGAGAGCAAUGUUUGCAGUUUUGAAGCUAAUUUCCUGCAAUUCUAUACAUUUUACCAUGGAUAACGCUGUGUUCUUAAGUAUAAAAAAUGAUAACAAAAUCAAUACUGCAAAAUGCAUUGUUUUGGGAAUUUUCAAUUCUCCCUGACUGUCUAGCUUUGUGGGGGUUUUAAUUUAUUUUAGUUCUCAAAGAUUAUAAAAAAUAUAUAUAGGUCUAUUAUCUUUUCUACAUAAUUUAUAUCUGUUUUUAAUCAUUAAAGUUUACACAGAAAGCA